UCACAGAUUCCGGGUCCUUUUGUUUCAGUUGAAUUUAGACAUAACCUUGAGUGGCUCUUCCCUACACUGUAAGACACUGUAAAUUGCACAUGUAUUACCUCCCUGGGAUGUGAUGAAACUUCUCCUCCUUCUCCGGGAAGCUAGGCUACGUACAGCAAGAGGACACCAGAAGACAUAUGAGUGCACCUUUCUGACAGCAAUGCAUUAAACCCGUGCCAUCUUCCCACCGUGUCUUUGGGAACCUGUGGAUCAAGUCAGUGUGUUACUGGAAUUAAGAAAUGAAAUGUCUUUAUGCAAGCAUUCAUCCUAAAGGGCCGUGGGGCUCGGGGCCAGGCACUGCCUUGUCACUGAGCGGGCAGAGGAGGACCCCAUGGCCCAGCCUCGGCCGGCUCGCUCCCAAAGCUGGCAGAGCAGGACAGAGGUAAGUGAGAUCAUGUCACCAAUACCUCAGUCGCUGCCGGAGCAUGAAGGAGGGGGUGCGAUCCUACUGCUGGGGGGAUGCCCAACUCGAGAAAGUGUCCUGUGAGCCAGGACGUGAACUCGCGCCCUCAGGAGCUUUCAUGUGCAGAAUGAGACCACAUCUGCUGGCGAAAGUCCUGAGGGACACGCCUGCUGCUGGGAUGUCCUGGGAGCCUGUGAUCGCGCAUUAUGUGCAAUUAAUCGGAAAUUAGGCUUGAGAUGUGGACGGGAAACAAACGGAGGAUGGUCUUUGGGGUUUGGACAGGAUACUGUUUUGUGAGAAUUCUCAACAGAAACUUGCAAACUGCAAAUUAGAAACCGAGACACACCUUGUGGCCUCCAGCUUGCUCCAUAGCCGGGUUUCACCAGCGCCUCCUCCCCCCGCUCCAGAUGCUGACCCAAUCACGCACCCACAGCUGAGUCCGUGGAGCACGCGGUGCCGUCUUUCACAAUUGGGAACAUUGAAACGUGUGCCAAGAUGAUGGUGUGUGUGUGCGUGUGUGCGCGAGUGUGUGCGGCAGAGGCAAAAUUAUCAAGAUGAGUCAUAACCAUGCCUCUGUCUGAAAGAAAGAGAUAACAGAGAGACGUUUCCUGCACUACGGGGCCUGCACAGCUACUUGCACGCGCCUCCAACCCACCACCUUGUUUCCAGGAGCAGUUGCUUUUCUCACCACACAUCGGACUCACUACUCUUCCAAACCCAGAAGACAAUUUGCUUUCAGAUCCCGUCUGAACAACUGUUUUCUCCAACCGGAUGCUCAAUUUACUUAAAAUAAAUAUGCACCAAUUUGCGUGUUACUAAUGGAACUGUUUUCUGGUAUUUCCAAAGGAAUUAUUACAGCCUCGCUGUCUCCGUCUCUGUGCAUCUCUGUGUCCCUCUGUCUCUCCUUGAGAGGACCAGGAGAGGCCGAAAUGGACACCAAACGCCGAGGUUCCGUGGGAAAUCGGGUCAUAAAAAGGAAGGAAAUAAGAAAAUGUUGCUCACAAUGGGCUACUCACCUGCCAAGGUCCUGCACAGGGUUCCUUCUCUAUCCUAAGGGCUCACACCCCUUCUAGCUCCCAAAAUGCACUUCCACAGGGGAAAUUAUAAGCAUGUAAUAUGUUCUCUUCUGACCAAAAACAUCUGCCUAGUGGGGAGGCCAAGAGACACCUGGCAUCAUAGGCCGAGAGCAGCCCCUAGCUCCCAUUCCAGUGUUUACCUGGAAAAUAAAACGGCCAGUUAUUUGACCAGCAAAAUGAGUUUGUUCAGGAAUAGCAGAAGAGUUGCAAUUUGGGACAAGCAAAGUAUGACAAACUGAGACAAUGCAGGUUGUGAGAACGGCAUGUGUGCAAGAGCGUCCACUUCUAUUACUCCCGGUCCAGGGAGACAGAACACAUACGCUGGAGGCAUGGCAAACAGGGGGCAAGGCAGGCUCCUCAGUGAGCAGGGAGCGCUAGGCAGGGCUGGAUCCCAAGACCCUGAGAUCAGGACCUGAGCUGAGGGCAGAUGCUUAACCGACUGAGCCACUCAGAAUAACACCCAGUGCUCAUCCCGUCAAAUGCCCCCCUCAGGGCCAUUUCUUAAAUCUUUAUACUCAGCGGUGGGGCUCGAAUUCACACUUCAAGAUCAAGAGUCACACGUUCUGCUGAGUCAACCAUGCCCUCCGGGGAAUAGACUGACUCUUGUGUCCACAUCCACACUUCCCUGAAUGAAGCCCUCUCCAGUCCUGGCCAAGUCUGGAGGAAGCUCCCUGGUGUUGAGAAUGCCCUCUGCCUCCCUUCUCCUACUGUUUUCACUUCUGCGCCUCCACUGACCCGAUGCCCCGAUGUAUCUGCGUCUUCCCAGCGUGGUAACUCCAGGGCCCAACUCCGAGUCUGUCACACUCUGGACCCGCAGUGAACACACGCCUAGCAAACGGAUGAACUGUUGGCCCAGCCCGGUAGAGCCGUGCCUCGCGGAUGGUAAUGAAAAUAGGUUUGCAAGGACUAGAGCCUCUCAUCCCAAGGAACUCCGCAGUGCUUCUGGAGUGAGGAAGUCUCUUCUGACCACAUCAUUUAACUUGACUUCUUAAAAUAACUACAAAUAGCAGGGAUAAUUUUCAGCCUUUAGGCAAAAUAAAUUACGUUCAAUAAUUUUC